UUCGCCCUUAGAGUUUGAUCCUGGCUCAGGACGAACGCUGGCGGCGUGCCUAACACAUGCAAGUCGAACGGACGAGAGGGAGCUUGCUCCCUCAAGUUAGUGGCGGACGGGUGAGUAACGCGUGAGUAACCUGCCUUUCAGAGGGGAAUAACAUUCUGAAAAGGAUGCUAAUACCGCAUGACAUCGUAGUAUCGCAUGGUACAGCGAUCAAAGGAGCAAUCCGCUGAAAGAUGGACUCGCGUCCGAUUAGCUAGUUGGCGGGAUAAAGGCCCACCAAGGCGACGAUCGGUAGCCGGACUGAGAGGUUGAUCGGCCACAUUGGGACUGAGACACGGCCCAGACUCCUACGGGAGGCAGCAGUGGGGGAUAUUGCACAAUGGGGGAAACCCUGAUGCAGCAACGCCGCGUGAAGGAAGAAGGUCUUCGGAUUGUAAACUUCUGUCCUCAGGGAAGAUAAUGACGGUACCUGAGGAGGAAGCUCCGGCUAACUACGUGCCAGCAGCCGCGGUAAUACGUAGGGAGCGAGCGUUGUCCGGAUUUACUGGGUGUAAAGGGUGCGUAGGCGGAUCUGCAAGUCAGUAGUGAAAUCCCAGGGCUUAACCCUGGAACUGCUAUUGAAACUGUGGGUCUUGAGUGAGGUAGAGGCAGGCGGAAUUCCCGGUGUAGCGGUGAAAUGCGUAGAGAUCGGGAGGAACACCAGUGGCGAAGGCGGCCUGCUGGGCCUUAACUGACGCUGAGGCACGAAAGCAUGGGUAGCAAAACAGGAUUAGAUACCCUGGUAGUCCAUGCCGUAAACGAUGAUUACUAGGUGUGGGUGGUCUGACCCCAUCCGUGCCGGAGUUAACACAAUAAGUAAUCCACCUGGGGAGUACGGCCGCAAGGUUGAAACUCAAAGGAAUUGACGGGGGCCCGCACAAGCAGUGGAGUAUGUGGUUUAAUUCGAUGAUACGCGAGGAACCUUACCCGGGCUUAAAUUGCAGCGGAAUGUAGUGGAAACAUUACAGCCUUCGGGCCGCUGUGAAGGUGCUGCAUGGUUGUCGUCAGCUCGUGCCGUGAGGUGUCGGCUUAAGUGCCAUAACGAGCGCAACCCUUAUCUAUAGUUACUAUCAGGUCAUGCUGAGGACUCUAUGGAGACUGCCGUCGUAAGAUGUGAGGAAGGUGGGGAUGACGUCAAAUCAGCACGGCCCUUACGUCCGGGGCUACACACGUGCUACAAUGAUCGGUACAAUAAGACGCAAGCCCGCGAGGGGGAGCAAAACUGGAAAACCGAUCUCAGUUCGGAUUGUAGGCUGAAACUCGCCUACAUGAAGCUGGAGUUGCUAGUAAUCGCGAAUCAGCAUGUCGCGGUGAAUACGUUCCCGGGCCUUGCACACACCGCCCGUCA
rnacentral:rRNA from 1 species